AAGCGUUAUCCGGAAUUAUUGGGUGUAAAGCGCGCGUAGGCAGUUUUUUAAGUCUGAUGUGAAAGCCCACGGCUCAACCGUGGAGGGUCAUUGGAAACUGGAAAACUUGAGUGCAGAAGAGGAAAGUGGAAUUCCAUGUGUAGCGGUGAAAUGCGCAGAGAUAUGGAGGUACACCAGUGGCGAAGGCGACUUUCUGGUCUGUAACUGACGCUGAUGUGCGAAAGCGUGGGGAUCAAAC
rnacentral:rRNA from 1 species